AAAUUGAAGAGUUUGAUCAUGGCUCAGAUUGAACGCUGGCGGCAGGCCUAACACAUGCAAGUCGAGCGGAAACGAGUUAUCUGAACCUUCGGGGAACGAUAACGGCGUCGAGCGGCGGACGGGUGAGUAAUGCCUAGGAAAUUGCCCUGAUGUGGGGGAUAACCAUUGGAAACGAUGGCUAAUACCGCAUGAUGCCUACGGGCCAAAGAGGGGGACCUUCGGGCCUCUCGCGUCAGGAUAUGCCUAGGUGGGAUUAGCUAGUUGGUGAGGUAAGGGCUCACCAAGGCGACGAUCCCUAGCUGGUCUGAGAGGAUGAUCAGCCACACUGGAACUGAGACACGGUCCAGACUCCUACGGGAGGCAGCAGUGGGGAAUAUUGCACAAUGGGCGCAAGCCUGAUGCAGCCAUGCCGCGUGUGUGAAGAAGGCCUUCGGGUUGUAAAGCACUUUCAGUCGUGAGGAAGGUAGUGUAGUUAAUAGCUGCAUUAUUUGACGUUAGCGACAGAAGAAGCACCGGCUAACUCCGUGCCAGCAGCCGCGGUAAUACGGAGGGUGCGAGCGUUAAUCGGAAUUACUGGGCGUAAAGCGCAUGCAGGUGGUUUGUUAAGUCAGAUGUGAAAGCCCGGGGCUCAACCUCGGAAUAGCAUUUGAAACUGGCAGACUAGAGUACUGUAGAGGGGGGUAGAAUUUCAGGUGUAGCGGUGAAAUGCGUAGAGAUCUGAAGGAAUACCGGUGGCGAAGGCGGCCCCCUGGACAGAUACUGACACUCAGAUGCGAAAGCGUGGGGAGCAAACAGGAUUAGAUACCCUGGUAGUCCACGCCGUAAACGAUGUCUACUUGGAGGUUGUGGCCUUGAGCCGUGGCUUUCGGAGCUAACGCGUUAAGUAGACCGCCUGGGGAGUACGGUCGCAAGAUUAAAACUCAAAUGAAUUGACGGGGGCCCGCACAAGCGGUGGAGCAUGUGGUUUAAUUCGAUGCAACGCGAAGAACCUUACCUACUCUUGACAUCCAGAGAACUUUCCAGAGAUGGAUUGGUGCCUUCGGGAACUCUGAGACAGGUGCUGCAUGGCUGUCGUCAGCUCGUGUUGUGAAAUGUUGGGUUAAGUCCCGCAACGAGCGCAACCCUUAUCCUUGUUUGCCAGCGAGUAAUGUCGGGAACUCCAGGGAGACUGCCGGUGAUAAACCGGAGGAAGGUGGGGACGACGUCAAGUCAUCAUGGCCCUUACGAGUAGGGCUACACACGUGCUACAAUGGCGCAUACAGAGGGCGGCCAACUUGCGAAAGUGAGCGAAUCCCAAAAAGUGCGUCGUAGUCCGGAUUGGAGUCUGCAACUCGACUCCAUGAAGUCGGAAUCGCUAGUAAUCGUGGAUCAGAAUGCCACGGUGAAUACGUUCCCGGGCCUUGUACACACCGCCCGUCACACCAUGGGAGUGGGCUGCAAAAGAAGUAGGUAGUUUAACCUUCGGGGGGACGCUUACCACUUUGUGGUUCAUGACUGGGGUGAAGUCGUAACAAGGUAGCGCUAGGGGAACCUGGCGCUGGAUCACCUCCUUAUACGAUGAU
rnacentral:rRNA from 2 species